GACGAACGCUGGCGGCGUGCCUAAUACAUGCAAGUCGAACGAACGGAGGAAGAGCUUGCUCUUCCAAAGUUAGUGGCGGACGGGUGAGUAACACGUGGGCAACCUGCCUGUAAGUUGGGGAUAACUCCGGGAAACCGGGGCUAAUACCGAAUGAUAAAGUGUGGCGCAUGCCAUGCUUUUGAAAGAUGGUUUCGGCUAUCGCUUACAGAUGGGCCCGCGGUGCAUUAGCUAGUUGGUAGGGUAAUGGCCUACCAAGGCAACGAUGCAUAGCCGACCUGAGAGGGUGAUCGGCCACACUGGGACUGAGACACGGCCCAGACUCCUACGGGAGGCAGCAGUAGGGAAUCUUCCGCAAUGGACGAAAGUCUGACGGAGCAACGCCGCGUGUAUGAAGAAGGUUUUCGGAUCGUAAAGUACUGUUGUUAGAGAAGAACAAGGAUAAGAGUAACUGCUUGUCCCUUGACGGUAUCUAACCAGAAAGCCACGGCUAACUACGUGCCAGCAGCCGCGGUAAUACGUAGGUGGCAAGCGUUGUCCGGAUUUAUUGGGCGUAAAGCGCGCGCAGGCGGUCUUUUAAGUCUGAUGUGAAAGCCCCCGGCUUAACCGGGGAGGGUCAUUGGAAACUGGAAGACUGGAGUGCAGAAGAGGAGAGUGGAAUUCCACGUGUAGCGGUGAAAUGCGUAGAUAUGUGGAGGAACACCAGUGGCGAAGGCGACUCUCUGGUCUGUAACUGACGCUGAGGCGCGAAAGCGUGGGGAGCAAACAGG
rnacentral:rRNA from 1 species